rnacentral:rRNA from 1 species
UACGGGGGAGAGCAAGCGUUGUUCGGAUUUACUGGGCGUAAAGGGUGCGUAGGCGGUUUGGUAAGUCUGAUGUGAAAUCUAUGGGCUCAACUCAUAGUCUGCAUCGGAAACUGCCGGGCUUGAGUAUGGGAGAGGUGAGUGGAAUUCCUGGUGUAGCGGUGAAAUGCGUAGAUAUCAGGAGGAACACCUGUGGCGAAAAGCGGCUCACUGGACCAUAACUGACGCUGAUGCACGAAAGCUAGGGGAGCAAACAGG